AAAAAAUAGAUAAUCACGCUCUGCUUUGUUAGGGUUCGCACGUGUGAAAGUAAAAGAAAUCGAUCCUCUACUUCAGUGGAAGAGAGGAAGAAAAAGAUACGGAUGUUUGCUCGUACGUCCAUCUUCCUCUUGAGUUACAGAGCAAAUAGUGUGCUUCAAUUUGGGAAUUCAUAUGUGAAGUCGAAGCCUGCCAAUUGCUUUCAGGGACACUGUUCUCAUUAUAGUUUGGGCUUUAAUAAGAAGAAAACAGGGCCAGAAAUUAGGUUAGGCAGCAUGGGCAACAAGAAAAAGCAAAAGACAGUACUCACUCGUUUAUGGAGGCCAGUAUCUACUCAAGCCAGUUCUGUUGAUGAUGUGACUAUUGAGUCAGAAAAUGGAGGUCAACUUCAAGAAGUACACUGUAAGACAUCUAGCUCCUUUUCAAAUACUCAAGAAGCGACUGUAGCUGAAGUAACUCAAUCAGCUGUCAGUUCUACCUCCCUUGACAGUAAUGUUGAAAAUAAAGUUCUAGAAGGAGAGUCUGUGCUUUCCAUGGAGAAACAUUCACUUUCUAUUGAGGUAGGUGCCUCUCUUAUUCGGUUUAUCAAAGGAAAAGGAGGAUUUUCACAGAAAAAAUUUGAAGAGGAGAUGGGAGUUAAGAUUUUCAUUCCAUCUUCAAAGGAGGAGGAAUCUAUUAUCAUUGAAGGAAGUUCAAUUGAUAGUGUAACUAGAGCUUCAGAAAAGAUACAAGCUAUUGUAGAGGAGGCAAUUAACAGCCCAAGUCUGAAUUACUCUCACUUCAUAUCUCUUCCACUGGCAAUACACCCAGAAUUGGUUGAUAAGCUAGUCAAGUUUCAGAAUUCCAUAUUGGGAACUAGUGAUUCUUUCCAGGAUGAGACUGUUGAGAGUGAUUCCAAUGAAGAUACUUCUGACAAUGAAGAUAAGGACAAAGAUUUGCGUAAAGGAUCUGAUGUUGCUGUUGCACUUAAAGUUGAAGAUGACAAUUAUGUUAAAGUGGAUUUAACUAGCAUGCCUCUUGUUAGUUAUGCACCUAAAGCAUCAAAGUCAACUACUUUAUCCGUCUUGGGAAUAGACAAAUCUAUAUUUACCAAACCUAAAGCGUUUCACUUAACCGUGCUCAUGUUGAAGCUCUGGAAUAAGAAGCGAAUUGAUGCUGCUACAGAGGUUCUGAAGAGUAUAUCCUCAAAAGUGAUGGAUGCCUUGGAUAAUCGACCACUCUAUGUCAGACUUAAGGGGCUGGAUAUGAUGAGAGGUUCUAUGGCAAAAGCCCGUGUUCUCUAUGCGACUGUAGAAGAAGUUGGAAAUGAGGACCGCCUUUUACGUGCCUGUCAGGUCAUUACUGAUGCAUUUGUUGAGGCUGGACUUGUGCUGGAUAAAGACGCUAAACAAAAGUUAAAGAAUUACUGAUAUUACAGAUCUGUUGUGUCACUGAAUUGCAGUUGCAUGCCACAGUGAUGAACACAAGCCAUAGGAGAGGGAAGAAGUGGAGAAGAAAAAAUGAUUCCUUCGAUGCUCGAGGCAUUUUCAAGCAGUUUGGAUCUGAGGAAUGGGGGGAGUAUCUCAUACGCGAAGCACAUCUUUCACAACGUUUUGUGUACGAUGAGAAUGGAUAUUACCAUUGUUGUGCUUCGAUACCUUUUCCUGAAAGCAUGCAAGUAGAUUGAUCUGCAGCUUCAAAAUUGAAAUCUAACUCGGCUUGAAUUGAAAGUUAGCAAGAUUACAUAAAUUAAAUUGCUUAAUGUUAGUUUGGGAUUAAGGCUUAAUUGUUACUGUUAUUUUUUUGUCUGUGUGUGUGUGAUUGUUUUGAAAUUUCAGCUUUCAAAUUUGUAGCUUUCCACUGUGAUCUGAUUGAGCAUACUUGAAUUCCUGUGCCCAUACUAUUAUCAAGACCAUCAGAAUUGCACUCA